GAUUAUGGCUCAGGAUGAACGCUAGCUACAGGCUUAACACAUGCAAGUCGAGGGGUAGCAGGGUCUAGCAAUAGAUCGCUGACGACCGGCGCACGGGUGAGUAACACGUAUCCAACCUUCCGUUUACUCGGGGAUAGCCUUUCGAAAGAAAGAUUAAUACCCGAUAGUAUGCUUUUCCCGCAUGGGAGAAUCGUUAAAGUUUUUCGGUAAUCGAUGGGGAUGCGUUCCAUUAGGCAGUUGGUGAGGUAACGGCUCACCAAACCUUCGAUGGAUAGGGGUUCUGAGAGGAAGGUCCCCCACAUUGGAACUGAGACACGGUCCAAACUCCUACGGGAGGCAGCAGUGAGGAAUAUUGGUCAAUGGACGAGAGUCUGAACCAGCCAAGUAGCCGUGAAGGAUGACUGCCCUAUGGGUUGUAAACUUCUUUUAUAUGGGAAUAAAGGAGCCUACGUGUAGGUUUUUGUAUGUACCAUACGAAUAAGGAUCGGCUAACUCCGUGCCAGCAGCCGC
rnacentral:rRNA from 1 species